GGAAGUAGUCAUUUUGUUUGGUUUCUUGGUCCUUGACACACACACAUAUAUUUGUGCAUAGAUACACAGUCACACACCCAGACUCAAACCCUCACAUGGCUCCUCAUCUUUCCGUUUUCAUCCUACUCGUCAUUUUUUCCAGACUAUCAGUAAUGUCAAUGCCAUCCACCGAAGACUCAUACUUAAUAUCAGCGUACAGCAGCUAUAGAUCUGAAGACGUCAUUGGAUUACUCUACAGAUUGCAGCGAACACUCUUCUACCUGGUGAAAAUUGCUAAUGCAGUGCUCUUCCUCCUGUGCACCAUCAUUGCUGUGGUGAAUUUCAAGGUUAACCGACUUCGAGGUGAAAUUCAGGAAUGUUAGAAACCAGACAGGUCUCUCUGGUGAGAACAGAUGUUGUGUGACCAUACAAUUGUGUUUUAAGUUCCAUUAUUCACCAGCGAGAUGUCUUUUGUUUUGUUACAGCCAAACAUUUAUUUCAAUCGGAAUGUUUUAUUCAUUUGUUUUACUGGUGAUUGAAGGUAAAACUACACUGUGUGCACAAUUAUUAGGCAAGUGAGUAUUCUGAUCUUAUCAUUAUUUCGAUGCACAUUUUCCAACUCCAAACCAUAUAAACUUAAAUGCUUAUUGGAUUUAAUCAUUUUCAGGUGAUAUGUAUUUGUGCGAUGAGGGAGGGUGUGGCGAAAGUGAAUAACACCUUAUAUCAAGGUGUGUAUAAUUAUUAGGCAGCUUCAUUACCUCAGGUAAAAUGGGCCACAAAAUGUAUUUAACUGACAUUGAAAAGUCAAAAAUUGUAAAAUGCCUUUCAGACGGAUGCAACACUCUUGAAAUAGCUAAACUAUUGAGGCGUGACCACCGGACAAUCAAACGUUUUGUUGUGAAUAGUCAACUGGGGCGCAAAAAACCCAUGGAGAAGAAAAGGCACAAAUUAACUGCAAAAGACUUGAGAAUAAUUAAACGUCAAGCUACCAGGAACCCAUUAUCCUCCAGUGCCACCAUAUUCCAGAACUGCAACCUACCUGGAGAGUCCAGAAGUACAAGGUGUCAAGUGCUCAGAGACAUGGCCAAGGUCAAGAAGGCUGAAACACGACCACCACUGAAUAAGAUUCACAAGUUGAAGCAUCAAGAUUGGGCAAAGAAAUACCUGAAGACAGAUUUUUCAAAGGUUUUAUGAACAGAUGAAAUGAGAGUGACUCUUGAUGGACCAGAUGGGUGGGCCCGUGGCUGGAUCAAUAAUGAACACAGGGCACCACUUCGAGUCAGGAGCCAGCAAGGUGGAGGAGGGGUACUGGUAUGGGCUGCUAUCAUUAAGGAUGAGGUAGUUGGACCUUUUCGGAUUGAAGAUGGUCUGAAACUCAACUCCCAAACCUACUGGCAGUUUCUGGAAGAUACUUUCUUCAAGCAGUGGUACAGGAAGAAGUCCUCAGCAUUCAAGAAGGCCAUGAUCUUCAUGCAGGACAAUGCUCCAUCACAUGCAUCCAAGUACUCCACUGCUUGGCUAGCCAGCAAGGGUCUCAAAGAUGCCCGAAUAAUGACCUGGCCCUCUUCCUCACCUGACUUAAAUCAAUAAGCUGUAGAGCAAAAAAAAUAAAUGUAAAUCUCUUUUUUUCCCUCCAAAAUAUAAAGUUUCCACAUGGUUUUAUUUCUUGGUCUCCAUAAUAUUACUGGUCCGCAGAAAUAUACGAACAAACUGAUUUUUUUGUUUUGUUUUGCACUUUUGUCACUGAUUUAACUCAAUUACCAGUGUUGAAUUGUUUUGAAUGACUAAUUACCACUGUUAACCUACAUAAAUGGAACACAUGCAUAUUUUGCUAAUAAAACGUUUUGAAGACA